UGGGGAAUAUUGCACAAUGGAGGGAACUCUGAUGCAGCGACGCCGCGUGAGUGAUGAAGGAAUUCGUUUCGUAAAACUCUGUUCUAUGGGAAGAAAAGGACUGUACCAUAGGAGAAAGCUCCGGCUAAAUACGUGCCAGCAGCCGCGGUAAUACGUAUGGAGCGAGCGUUGUCCGGAAUUAUUUGGCGUAAAGGGUGCGCAGGCGGCUUUACAAGUUGGAUGUGAAAUAUUGUGGCUCAACCACAAACGUGCAUCCAAAACUGGAAAGCUUGAGUUAAGGAGAGGUAAGUCGAAUUCCUGGAGUAGCGGUGGAAUGCGUAGAUAUCAGGAGGAAUACCGGUGGCGAAAGCGACUUACUGGGCUUAAACUGACGCUCAGGCACGAAAGCGUGGGGAGCAAACAGG
rnacentral:rRNA from 1 species